rnacentral:misc_RNA from 1 species
AAAAAAAAAAAAAAUCUAAGAAUUGCAACAAUCACAAAAAAAUGCCUAUAACUUCUAAACAGAUAAGAGAUGAUGAAAAUUCUUGAGAAAAAAAUUAACCCGAGAGAAGAACCACUUAACUAUGAAAUUUCUUAAGAAUGGCAAAAAAAAUAUGGGGUUGAAUCAUUUGGUAAGGUGCGGAUGGUGGCAUGAAUGAAGGAAUUAAGUGAAAGAGAGAGAGAGAGAGA